rnacentral:rRNA from 1 species
AGUGAACGCUGGCGGUAGGCCUAACACAUGCAAGUCGAACGGCAGCACAGUAAGAGCUUGCUCUUACGGGUGGCGAGUGGCGGACGGGUGAGGAAUACAUCGGAAUCUACUUUUUCGUGGGGGAUAACGUAGGGAAACUUACGCUAAUACCGCAUACGACCUACGGGUGAAAGCAGGGGAUCUUCGGACCUUGCGUGAUUGAAUGAGCCGAUGUCGGAUUAGCUAGUUGUCGGGGUAAAGGCCCACCAAGGCGACGAUCCGUAGCUGGUCUGAGAGGAUGAUCAGCCACACUGGAACUGAGGCACGGUCCAGACUCCUACGGGAGGCAGCAGUGGGGAAUAUUGGACAAUGGGCGCAAGCCUGAUCCAGCCAUACCGCGUGGGUGAAGAAGGCCUUCGGGUUGUAAAGCCCUUUUGUUGGGAAAGAAAAGCAGCAGGUUAAUACCCCGCUGUUCUGACGGUACCCAAAGAAUAAGCACCGGCUAACUUCGUG